CGAUACCGUGAAGAAAAGUUGAAAAGUACUUUGAAGAGUUAACGAGUACGUGAAACCGUUCAGAGGUAAACCUAAGAAACCCAAAAAAUCGAACGGGGAGAUUCAUCGUCAACGAAACUGGCUUCGCGUCGGUGGGCGAUAACCCCGCGGUGUGUCCUAAGCGGCACGCGCGUGCGGGCACGUNNCCGAACGCCGAUGUCCGGUUUUCGUCGUCGUGCACUUCUCUCCUAGUAGAACGUCGCGACUCGCUGUGUGUCGGUCACCGACCCGGGUGCGGUUACUGUCACGUCGCCCGUAAAAACGGCGCGCGGCAAACACCC
rnacentral:rRNA from 1 species